UCUCCUUGUAAACCCAAAAUCGUGUUUCAUCAAUUCUCAAAAAGGUCAUAAUCCAUAGUUAUUUUUUAGUGAAAUUGUAUCUGCACAAAUGUGAUUUGAUAAUAAUUUGAUGAGCUAUUUCCUAGAAUCUGAGAUACACAACGAUUAUGCGUUUAUUCCGUGGCGAUUACCUAAACCCGGCAAAUUUUGGAAUUAGCUUGAUGCUCCCUACUAUUUUUAAUUGUGUCGUUUUUCCCAGUCCUGGAUCCGUCAACUCCCUUCCCGAACCCCCUCCGCCGUGCCGCACCCCCCCACCCCCCGAAAAAAAAAAAAGACUAAGCCUGGCCUCAGUUCCCGUAUUUCAAGCCAGGACCAACCAGAAACCAGUUUUCUUCCACUAAUCCGGAACUCCGGGCUGUUACCAACGCUGCCAUUGGCCAGCGUCAGUCCUUGGUACGUGCCCCAAGAUAACCCCCUGGUUUCUCUCCCUUUUCCCCCUACAAUGGGCCUUUCCCAAUGUUUGUAACAAAUUCAUAAUCCACAGUAAGGCAUCUCUGAUAACCAACUCACAUUCUUCAAAGUUUUCGGGUGGAAACAAACAAGGCCGAGGGGAGGGCAAGGUACCCUUUCACCGACUCGCUGGGAGGGGGGAAGGGGCAGUUCUUUGCCUCAGCAUCGAGAUCUAGAGCCGGGGACUCCGUACCUGAUGCUCCUCCAGCUCCUGCACUAGCACCUGAGCAAAAGGGAAACACGGAUAUGAGGAGCUGCUCAGGCCAUCAACCCAUUCCUCCCUCCUCAAUUCGAACCCAGCCGCUGACGGGUCCGGACUGCAAGAAUCUAGCAAUCAGGUAAUACAGCUCUAAGGAAGAAGGGGGAAAGGAGGUUGAGAUGGAGGCAAAGAAGAGAAAUAGAAGCUUUUUCAAAAGAAACUGACAGCCGUCGCGCUAAGCCCCCAUCCCCUUAGCCCCCGGACACAGCUACCCACCGGCUUCGAUCUGGUUCUGGAAGUCAGAAGUCUGAAGUCAGAAUAUCACCAGGCCGGAAUGCCUCCAAAAUCUCUGGUGGAGAAUCCUUAUUCCAGCUUUUGAUGAGUACUGGCAUGCCUGGAAAUCACUAGAAAUUGUGGUAGCCUAACUCAAAUCUCUAUCUUCAUCUUCACAUGGCCUUUUUCCUUAUGUCCCUGUGUUAAAUCUCCCUCUCCUUUUUCUUAUAAGGACACCAGUCAUUGGAUUUUGGCCUUACCCCAAAUCCAGAAUGAUCUCCUCUUGAGAACCUUAACUUAGUUAUAUCUACAAAGACUCUAUUUUCAAAUAGGGUCAUAUUCUCAGGUACUGGGGGAUAAGGCAUGGACAUAUUUUUUUGGAAGAAGCAUACUUAAACCCACUAAAUCAUUGUUUUAUUUUGACUCAUUUAAAGUCAUAUUUCAGUGGAGAAUCAAGGUUGAAAAUUUAACAGUUCUCUGUAGUAUGGCCAAAAAAAGAGAAAAAAUAGGAAAUUCUGAGAUGAAGGGACAAAAAUGGUAAAUAAGGUUAAUAUAACAAAUUGUGUAAAUAGUUUGUCUUUUUCUGUCUAGGUUCUUAAAAUUUUUAAAAAUUAUAUAAUAACUAAAAUAAUGUAUUCCUGGAUUCUAAAUAUAUCAUAUUCAUUAUAAUAUGUUAAUAUAUUU